CCUACGGGCGGCUGCAGUGGGGAAUUUUGGACAAUGGGCGCAAGCCUGAUCCAGCAAUGCCGCGUGCAGGACGAAGGCCUUCGGGUUGUAAACUGCUUUUGUACGGAGCGAAAAGGCUCUCUCUAAUACAGGGGGCUCAUGACGGUACCGUAAGAAUAAGCACCGGCUAACUACGUGCCAGCAGCCGCGGUAAUACGUAGGGUGCAAGCGUUAAUCGGAGCGACUGGGCGUAAAUCUGUCACAGGCAGUUGAAAUCCCCGGGCUCAACCUGGGAACUGCCUUUGUGACUGCAUAGCUAGAGUACGGCAGAGGGGGAUGGAAUUCCGCGUGUAGCAGUGAAAUGCGUAGAUAUGCGGAGGAACACCGAUGGCGAAGGCAAUCCCCUGGGCCUGUACUGACGCUCAUGCACGAAAGCGUGGGGAGCAAACAGGAUUAGAUACCCCAGUAGUC
rnacentral:rRNA from 1 species